UAUUGCACAAUGGGGGAAACCCUGAUGCAGCGACGCCGCGUGAGCGAUGAAGUAUUUCGGGAUGUAAAGCUCUAUCAGCAGGGAAGAAGAUGACGGUACCUGACUAAGAAGCCCCGGCUAACUACGUGCCAGCAGCCGCGGUAAUACGUAGGGGGCAAGCGUUAUCCGGAUUUACUGGGUGUAAAGGGAGCGUAGACGGCAGCACAAGUCUGGAGUGAAAUGCCGGGGCUUAACCCCGGAACUGCUUUGGAAACUGUGCAGCUAGAGUGCAGGAGAGGUAAGUGGAAUUCCUAGUGUAGCGGUGAAAUGCGUAGAUAUUAGGAGGAACACCAGUGGCGAAGGCGACUUUCUGGACAGUAACUGACAUUGAGGCACGAAAGUGUGGGGAGCAAACAG
rnacentral:rRNA from 1 species